UGGCAAGCGUUGUCCGGAAUUAUUGGGCGUAAAGCGCGCGCAGGCGGAUCUGUAAGUCUAUCUUAAAAGUUCGGAGCUUAACUCCGUGAUGGGGUGGAAACUGUGGAUCUUGAGUAUCGGAGAGGAAAGCGGAAUUCCUAGUGUAGCGGUGAAAUGCGUAGAGAUUAGGAAGAACACCAGUGGCGAAGGCGGCUUUCUGGACGAAUACUGACGCUGAGGCGCGAAAGCGUGGGGAGCA
rnacentral:rRNA from 1 species